AAUGAAGAACGUAGCGAAAUGCGAUAAGUAAUGUGAAUUGCAGAAUUCAGUGAAUCAUCGAAUCUUUGAACGCACAUUGCGCCCCCUGGUAUUCCGGGGGGCAUGCCUGUUCGAGCGUCAUUUCACCACUCAAGCCUCGCUUGGUAUUGGGCAACGCGGUCCGCCGCGUGCCUCAAAUCGACCGGCUGGGUCUUCUGUCCCCUAAGCGUUGUGGAAACUAUUCGCUAAAGGGUGUUCGGGAGGCUACGCCGUAAAACAACCCCAUUUCUAAGGUUGACCUCGGAUCAGGUAGGGAUACCCGCUGAACUUAAGCAUAUCAAUAAGCGGAGGA
rnacentral:misc_RNA from 1 species